rnacentral:rRNA from 1 species
AACGAACGCUGGCGGCAUGCCUAACACAUGCAAGUCGAACGAGAUCUUCGGGUCUAGUGGCGCACGGGUGCGUAACGCGGGGGAAUCUGCCCUGUGGUUUGGAAUAACAGUUGGAAACGACUGCUAAUACGGGAUGAUGACGAAAGUCCAAAGAUUUAUCGACAGAGGAUGAGCCCGCGUAGGAUUAGCUAGUUGGUGUGGUAAAGGCGCACCAAGGCGACGAUUCUUAGCUGGUCUGAGAGGAUGAUCAGCCACACUGGGACUGAGACACGGCCCAGACUCCUACGGGAGGCAGCAGUGGGGAAUAUUGGACAAUGGGCGAAAGCCUGAUCCAGCAAUGCCGCGUGAGUGAUGAAGGCCUUAGGGUUGUAAAGCUCUUUUACCCGGGAUGAUAAUGACAGUACCGGGAGAAUAAGCUCCGGCUAACUCCGUGCCAGCCGCCGCAGUAA